UGCCAGCCGCCGCGGUAAUACGGAAGGUGCAAGCGUUGUUCGGAUUGACUGGGCGUAAAGCGCACGUAGGCGGGUUAAUAAGUCGGAUGUGAAAGCCCCAAGCUUAACUUGGGAACUGCAUCCGAAACUGUUAAUCUUGAAUGCUUGAGAGGUUGGUGGGAUUCCUGGUGUAGGAGUGAAAUCCGUAGAUAUCAGGAGGAACACCGGAGGCGAAGGCGGCCAACUGGCAAUGCAUUGACGCUGAGGUGCGAAAGCGUGGGGAGCAAACAGGAUUAGAUA
rnacentral:rRNA from 1 species